UAUGGCUCAGAUUGAACGCUAGCGGGAUGCCUUACACAUGCAAGUCGAACGGCAGCACGGACUUCGGUCUGGUGGCGAGUGGCGAACGGGUGAGUAAUGUAUCGGAACGUGCCUAGUAGCGGGGGAUAACUACGCGAAAGCGUAGCUAAUACCGCAUACGCCCUACGGGGGAAAGCAGGGGAUCGUAAGACCUUGCACUAUUAGAGCGGCCGAUAUCGGAUUAGCUAGUUGGUGGGGUAAUGGCUCACCAAGGCGACGAUCCGUAGCUGGUUUGAGAGGACGACCAGCCACACUGGGACUGAGACACGGCCCAGACUCCUACGGGAGGCAGCAGUGGGGAAUUUUGGACAAUGGGGGAAACCCUGAUCCAGCCAUCCCGCGUGUGCGAUGAAGGCCUUCGGGUUGUAAAGCACUUUUGGCAGGAAAGAAACGCCGCGGGUUAAUACCCUGCGGAACUGACGGUACCUGCAGAAUAAGCACCGGCUAACUACGUGCCAGCAGCCGCGGUAAUACGUAGGGUGCAAGCGUUAAUCGGAAUUACUGGGCGUAAAGCGUGCGCAGGCGGUUCGGAAAGAAAGAUGUGAAAUCCCAGAGCUUAACUUUGGAACUGCAUUUUUAACUACCGAGCUAGAGUGUGUCAGAGGGAGGUGGAAUUCCGCGUGUAGCAGUGAAAUGCGUAGAUAUGCGGAGGAACACCGAUGGCGAAGGCAGCCUCCUGGGAUAACACUGACGC
rnacentral:rRNA from 2 species